UUAAAGGUGUUGAAGGACAUUAGUAAAUUUUUAAAACUGAUUUAGAGAGCUGAUGGUUGCUGAAAAUCAGCCAGUUUAAAAGUUGAAUCCAGUCUGGAGCUGUGAUGCAGAAAAAUAAUUAUUUAUUGACUAUGCUGAUCCGGGUGAGUCCGUUAAAACUAUAUAAGAGGCAGCAAUAGCUGUUAUUAGGGUGGCACCACGAGAUAUCUCGUCCCUUUC
rnacentral:ncRNA from 1 species